CAUAACCCCGGGAAACUGGGGAUAAUUCCGGAUAACGCAUAUUUGCUGGAAUGCUUUAUGCGUCAAAAGGAUUCGUCUGCCCAAGGAUGGGUCUGCGGCCUAUCAGGUAGUAGUGGGUGUAAUGUACCUACUAGCCAGCGACGGGUACGGGUUGUGAGAGCAAGAGCCCGGAGAUGGAUUCUGAGACAUGAAUCCAGGCCCUACGGGGCGCAGCAGGCGCGAAAACUUUACAAUGCGGGAAACCGUGAUAAGGGGACACCGAGUGCCAGCAUCAUAUGCUGGCUGUCCGGAUGUGUAAAAUACAUCCGUUAGCAAGGGCCGGGCAUGACCGGUGCCAGCCGCCGCGGUAACACCGGCGGCCCGAGUGGUGAUCGUGAUUAUUGGGUCUAAAGGGUCCGUAGCCGGUUUGGUCAGUCCUCCGGGAAAUCUGAUAGCUCAACUAUUAGGCUUUCGGGGGAUACUGCCAGACUUGGAACCGGGAGAGGUAAGAGGUACUACAGGGGUAGGAGUGAAAUCUUGUAAUCCCUGUGGGACCACCUGUGGCGAAGGCGUCUUACCAGAACGGGUUCGACGGUGAGGGACGAAAGCUGGGGGCACGAACCGGAUUAGAUACCCGGGUAGUCCCAGCCGUAAACGAUGCUCGCUAGGUGUCUGCAUGGCGCGACCGUGUCUGGUGCCGCAGGAAGCCGUGAAGCGAGCCACCUGGGAAGUACGGCCGCAAGGCUGAAACUUAAAGGAAUUGGCGGGGGAGCACAACAACGGGUGGAGCCUGCGGUUUAAUUGGACUCAACGCCGGACAACUCACCGGGGGCGACAGCAUAUGUAGGCCAAGCUGAAGACUUUGCCUGAAUCGCUGAGAGGAGGUGCAU
rnacentral:rRNA from 1 species